AUUAUUAAGAAUAAUAUAUUGUUAGUAUAUAAACUUUAUGAAAACAAAAAAUUAUGGCGGUAUUUUAAGCUUUUCAGAGGAAUUUGCUCUUUUAUGGAUAAAACACCUAAAUCUUACUAAAUUUGGUUAAGCAGUUUGUAUACCACUAUUUAAGCAAUAAUUUAUUAUUAUUACUAAAAUUUAUUAAAAAUAAAAAAAGUUAAGUCAAGGUGCAGCAUAAAAUUUAGUAUGAAGUGAAUUACAUCUCUUUAAAGAGAAAUAUUUUGAAAAUGAAAUUUAGGAUUUGAAAGUAAAGUUUUAAUAGAAAGAAAAUUUGAAUUUAGCUCUAAAAUAUGUAC
rnacentral:rRNA from 1 species